CCUAAGAUGGAACAGGGGUUAACUCUUUAUCCACCAGAGGUAGUUUUUACUGGGCAUGAUUAUCCCAUUUGUAACUGAGUUGAUUUCCCUGAUCUUCCCUGAACAGUUUCAGGUUGGUCCAACGAGCAAGGUUCUUGCCUGGAUAUAGACAGACAUUUCCUGUGGGCGUGCCUGUGGACAUGGAUGCAGAAAAUUGAGGAAAGAAAGCUCCAAGUAAUGGUGGAGACAGUCAUGGGCUGACUGGACUUCAAUGUCAUUGGAAAAGGAAGAACUCAAACCAGCCACCAACAGGAUCAGAGUGCCAGGUUUCCUGGAAACAUUACCCAGACCCAAAAAUUUCUCAGAAUUUUCAGAGGCGCCAAAGGACUGUUUGCAUUUCAAUGGACAUCUGGCGAACUUGGCAUUUCCUGUGUCACAAAGCAAAUUAAGUGUGAUCAACAUAGUCAGCCAAUGUGAUGACCGUCUUAACAUCAAGAAAAUCAAGAUUCCUAUGGACCAUUGUUGCGGGAAAUAUUAAAAAAUGAACCCACCAGU